rnacentral:tRNA from 35 species
AUGGGGCGUGGCCAAGUGGUAAGGCAACGGGUUUUGGUCCCGCUAUUCGGAGGUUCGAAUCCUUCCGUCCCAG